rnacentral:misc_RNA from 1 species
CUUGUCCAUGCUCUUGCCGAUGCUAAAACGCAGAAUGCCAAGAAGAAGAAGAAGCAAAGCAAGGAGAAGCAGAAGAAGGAGAGCGGCGUGGUGACCAGUGCAGCAGAAGACCGGAAUCUGUCCAAGGCUGCCCGGAGGUUUUAUAAUGAGAACUUCAGGGAGCCACCGCAGCGUCUCAGUAAGGUUCUCGCUGCUGCUGGAGUGGCAUCAAGAAGGAACAGCGAAGAGCUAAUUUUUGAAGGCAAAGUGACUGUUAAUGGUUCUGUGUGCAACACUCCUCAGACUCGGGUUGAUCGUGCAAGGGAUGUCAUUUAUGUCAAUGGAAAUCGCCUUCCUAAGAAACUGCCCCCAAAGCUGUAUCUUGCCCUUAACAAGCCAAAA